rnacentral:tRNA from 1 species
GGGGUUGUGGCUCAGGGGUAGAGUGCUUGCCUUGUAUGCAUGAGGCACUGCGUUUGAUCUCCAGCACCACA